UUUCCGUUGCUAAGGACUCUGUGCAGAGAGGAAGAUGGCUGCCUCCCAGAAACAGCAGAGAAACUCCCAGUACUACGUUGGAGAAGUGAAAAGCCUCCUUCGAGACGGAUACGGUUUGUACGUUUACCCGAACAGUUUCUUUCGUUACGAGGGACAAUGGAAAUUGGGGAAAAAACAUGGUCAUGGAAAACUGGUGAUGAAAGAUGGAAGUUAUUACGAGGGCGAGUUUGUCAAUGGAGAAAUAGAAGGGAAUGGGUUGAGAUAUUGGGCUUGCUCAGGUAAUACCUACUCAGGGCAGUUUAACUCUGGAGAGCUGCAUGGGUAUGGGGUGAUGCAGUAUGGCACUGGUGAAAGGUUUGAAGGGGAGUUUUCCUUUGGAUUAAGAGAAGGACAUGGGUUUCUUGUAGACAAGGAAGGUCAAAUCUAUGAAGGUUCUUUUCACAAAAAUAAGAAACACGGGGAAGGACAAAUGACUUACAGAAAUGGGGAUCAGUAUGAAGGAGACUGGAUUCUUGACCAAAGACAAGGUCAUGGAGUGAUGCACUUUGCAGAUGGAUCAAUCUAUGAGGGACAAUGGAGAAACAAUCUUUUUAAUGGUCAGGGGACAAUGAUUCACUGCUCUGGUGUCAUCUAUGAAGGCUUGUGGACAAGUGGGCAGCCUGCUGGUGGUGCAUCUAAGAUUGUAAUUGAAGGAGGAGAUAUGCUUGAAGUGUUCCAGAGAUCACCUUUUACUCUUGAAGUACAACUUCAAAAUGAAGAGGAGGAAAUCAUUACAGGUGAGAAUGGUCGCGUUUUGCAGAUUUGGGCUGGUGUUCGCAAAGAGGAAGUCCCUCCCACCUCUUCCUGCACCACACUAUUAAAGCUGAUUGAAGACAUAGAAGAGAAACCUGUUCUAACACCAUUCGGGUUUGAGUGUAUUAGCUACCCUUUGAUGGAGCGAGUCUUUGAAAGCGAUGACUCCAGAGGCUCAGCCCCCCUUGCUGUGGCUAAAUCCGGAUUUGUGCAGACGGACUCGCCAAUCCCUGAGGGGGAAUCGCAGUCUGGAAGUGGAUCAGACACCGUGGCACUCGGAGGGGGUACCCCUAGCUACCUGGAUGGAAAAACAGAUGUUUCAGAUCAGAUUGGAGAGAGUGAAGCUACUGCUAUAACUGAAUCAAUUUCAGGUUUACGUAGGUUUUCAGAGCUAGAAGAAGAUUGGCACCCACCUCCAGCCAAUCAGCGAGUUGAAGCGGGACGUGCGAAAUUCCAGAAUCUCAUGUUAGCCCCUCCACCUCCCAACUACCAGCCUUUUCUACUGGUGGAUGAAACGGAGAAGCAAAAAGGAGCGAAGAAGCCAGCUGGCAAAGGGCCUUCAGAAAAAGCAGAGAAACUGACAUCAUCCCAGGAGAAGAAUGCUGACAGCAGCAGAUCCAGUGUUGGAAGCCGGCUGGGAGUUAGCCCGAAGAAAGAUGCUGCAGACAACAGGACCGUUAGACCAGAUGACCAUUGGAUUAUAGCCACUACUCAUGAAGACUGAUUGACCUAUGUGAAUGAAAUCAAAGACCAAACUGGUGACAACCAGCAUGAGUGCCAAAGCAAGUAUGAAAGAGAACCUCUUCCAUGAUGACAAGAUGUUACACUGAACUCUCACCCAGAAAAACCUCCUACAAACAGGAGCUUUUGGGAUGGGCAGGCUGCUCUGAAGGCCUCUUGGCUGAGGGCAACCUCCUGGCCAUUGGACGAUGAAGGAGGGAUGAAGAAGAUGAAUUUGAAGGAGAAAAGGGCACUGCAUUACGCCUUUGCAACCAUGUACUAGAUGGUGGCUUUCAGUUGGCCUGAGCCUUCGUUUUCACGUUCAUGUAUUGGUUUCGGAAUUUGUGAUUAUAGUGUGUUUUCUGUAGGAGUCAAAUGGAGUUGAGUCCAUUGCUCACUGAGGAUUUGGAGAAGGACAGAAGCAAUGUACUGUAUCUCUGUGUUUCGGUUAUUGACUGCAGGCUUGAACAAUGCAACCUCAAUGUUCCCAUAGCGACUGUAAUAUAAAACUGCUCUCAGUUAGGUUUCCAUUGGUGGUGAUGGAGGGGAGUCCCCAUU